UGAAUGGCAAAACGAAAGCUCAACUGUCUCCUUAGAUUAAUCAAUGAAAUUGAUCUUUCCGUGCAGAAGCGGAAAUAUUUUUAUAAGACAAAAAGACCCUAUGGAGCUUCAAAUUUAAAUUACUUAUAUUCCCUUAAAAAUAUAAUAAAUAAUUUAACAUAAAAUUUUAGGUUGGGGCGACCGCGGAGUAAACUACAACCUCCAAGAUUAAUUAAGAAAGACAUUUCAAAAUGAUAAAAUAACUAAUAUACUUGAUCCAAUAUUUGAUCAACGAACCAAGUUACCCUAGGGAUAACAGCGCAAUCCCCUUAAAGAGUUCAUAUCGACAAGGGGGUUUACGACCUCGAUGUUGGAUCAGGGCCCCCAAAUGGUGCAGCAACUAUUAAAGGUUCGUUUGUUCAACGAUUAAAGCCCUACGUGAUCUGAGUU
rnacentral:rRNA from 1 species